rnacentral:lncRNA from 1 species
UACUUGAAAGAGCAGAAUAAAGAAAUAAUCAAAUGUAUCAUAUAGAGGUAUAUCAUGCAAACACAUUUUCAUUAUGCUCAAGAAUUCAUAGCUUCUCACAAGUCAUUUUAAAUCAAAAUUUUAAGCAUGAACUUGUGUAGUUCAUGGUUAUGACAUAGGUAAAGAUAUAUUUUAGUUUGGGCAAACCAUGAAAUAAUUUCUAAAAGCACAAGUCAAUCAAUACAUAUAUAGACAUGAUAUCAAGUAAUUAAUAAUUAAAGACUUUAAUCAUGCCAUAGUAAGAUUUAAGUUAAUGACUUUGCUCAGCUAAUUUAUGAGAGAGGUAUCUAAAAUUACCGAAUCAUUCUGCAUUCUUCAAGUCAAAUACCUACUAGAUUUCUUAUGUGUAGCCUUUUAGCUGAAGAAAGUCCUCUCUCUUGUUUGCAUGUGAAUGUUGAUUGUACCUUUUAUGGAGGUGUCCUUCAAGUUGAAAUCUCUCAUUUUCUUGCUCAAGGAUCCUGCAAACUCCUUUUCUUUCUUGAAAGAAAGUCAUUAGUUUCUUCAAGAUACAAAACAUUCAUCUACCAUAUUUUUAACUAGAUGACUCAAUAUAAGAUAUGACACUAGUUGAAUGUUGAGUCACUUUACUCAAGAGAUUGCCUAAGUACAAGCAAGCACAUAUCACUUGAACUAUAGAGAUAGUUUCAUUAACCAAGAUGGUUCAAGGACAAGCAUGUGAGGCAAUAGGAAGAUUUAUCAAGGUCAAAUCAAUUUCUUAUUUUCAAGAUC